rnacentral:rRNA from 1 species
UACGGAGGGUGCAAGCGUUAAUCGGAAUUACUGGGCGUAAAGCGCACGCAGGUGGCUGAGUCAGUCGAUUGUGAAAGCCCUGGGCUUAACCUGGGAAUUGCAGUCGAUACUACUCAGCUAGAGUAUGGGAGAGGGCAGUGGAAUUCCCGGUGUAGCGGUGAAAUGACGUAGAUAUCGGGAGGAACAUCAGUGGCGAAGGCGGCUGCCUGGCCCAAUACUGACACUCAGGUGCGACAGCGUGGGGAGCA